ACCAGACUCCUACGGGAGGCAGCAGUGAGGAAUAUUGGUCAAUGGGCGGAAGCCUGAACCAGCCAAGUCGCGUGAGGGAUUAAGGCCCUGCGGGUCGUAAACCUCUUUUGCCGGGGAGCAGAGGUCCGGACGUGUCCGGGCCGGGAGAGUACCCGGAGAAAAAGCAUCGGCUAACUCCGUGCCAGCAGCCGCGGUAAUACGGAGGAUGCGAGCGUUAUCCGGAUUUAUUGGGUUUAAAGGGUGCGCAGGCGGCGAGUUAAGUCAGCGGUAAAAUUUCGGGGCUCAACCCCGACAAGCCGUUGAAACUGGCUUGCUAGAGUGGGCGAGAAGUAUGCGGAAUGCGUGGUGUAGCGGUGAAAUGCAUAGAUAUCACGCAGAACUCCGAUUGCGAAGGCAGCAUACCGGCGCCCUACUGACGCUGAGGCACGAAAGCGUGGGUAUCGAACAGGAUUAGAUACCCGCGUA
rnacentral:rRNA from 1 species